rnacentral:rRNA from 1 species
UACGUAGGGUGCGAGCGUUAAUCGGAAUUACUGGGCGUAAAGCGUGCGCAGGCGGUUCGUUAAGUCCGAUGUGAAAGCCCCGAGCUUAACUUGGGAAUGGCAUUGGAAACUGGCGGGCUGGAGUGUGGCAGAGGGGGGUGGAAUUCCACGUGUAGCAGUGAAAUGCGUAGAGAUGUGGAGGAACACCGAUGGCGAAGGCAGCCCCCUGGGCCAACACUGACGCUCAGGCACGAAAGCGUGGGGAUCAAACAGG